rnacentral:rRNA from 1 species
UAGAGUUUGAUUCUAGCUCAAAAUGAAUGCUAUUUAUCUGCUUUAUACAUGCAAGUUUUUCUUUUUUUGAUUAAAAAAGAAAGCGAACGGGUGAGUACAUAAAAAGAAUUUUGCUUUACAAUUUAGUUAAAUUUCUUUCAAAAAUUAGAUACUAUAUAAAAGAUUAAUCGUUGUAACAUAAACUUUUUCAAGAUUAGGUUUUUGAGCAAAAAACAAAACUCAAGCCGAUGAUCUUUAAUUGGUCUGUAAGGACGUCCAAUCACACUAGAACUGAGACAAGGUCUAGACUUUUUUGAAAGGCUGCAGUAAGGAAUUUUAAACAAUAAGCGAAAGCUUGAUUUAGCAAGAUAAAGUGAAUGAUGAAAGUGCAUAGAAAUAGCGUUGUAAAGUUCUUUUAUUAAUAUAAAUUAUGAUAUUAUUUUAAAAAAAGUCCUGGCAAACUUUGUGCCAGCAGCCGCGGUUAUACGAAGAGGGCAAGCAUUAUUUGGUUUAAUUUGGUGUAAAAGGUGUGUGGAUUGUUGUUAAAAAUUUUUAAAACAAAAACUUAAUAUUAUAUAUUAUAAAGUUUAAAUUGAAAAUAUCUAGGGUUAAAACAAAGAUAAUAGAAUUUCAAGUGAAAGAAUAAAAUCUGCUGAUACUUGAAGGAAUUUCAAAAGUGAAAACAAUUAUCUAUUAAGAACCGACGUUAAUACACGUAAUUUUAGGUAGCGACUGGGAUUAGAUACCCCAUUAGUCUAAAAUGUAAACGAUCAAUACUUGUCUUUAAAAUUUAGAGAUUUAGCUAACGCGUUAAGUAUUGUACCAGAGAAGUACGUUAGCAAUAAUGAAACUCAAAGAAAUUGUCGGGGGUUCAUACUCUUGGUGGAACAUAUGGCUUAAUUCGUCGAUACACGCAAAACCUUACCAUUCUUUGAAUUUUUAACAAGUGUUGCAUGGCUGUCGUCAGCUCGUGUUUUGAAAUGUUUGGUUUACUCCUUUAACGAGCGAAACCCUCUUUUUUUAUUUUGAAAAUUUAAAACUUUUAAACGCAUUGUUAUAAAUGUUAAAUAUUUUUUCUAAAAAAUAUUGCCUACGAAAAGCAGGAUUAAAGUGAGGAUGACGUCAAGUGUCAUGACCUUUAUAGAAUGGGCUGCUUAUGUGUUACAAUGACAAAAACAAUGAGUCAUUUUAAUGAAAAUUGAAAUUAAUCUCAAAAAUUUGUCCUAGUCCAAAUUAUUUUCUGUAACUCGAAAAUAUGAAGUUGAAAUCAAAAGUAAUCGUUUAUCAGCAAGGAACGGUGAAAUCUUUUCUGAACCUUGUACAAAUCGCCCGUCACAGCUUGGAAGUUUUUUGAUUCAAAGUAAUUUAAUAAGUUUCUCAUAUUUAUCUAACUGCUACGUUUUUUAACUAAAGUAUUUUGUAUAUGAUUAGAUCUUUAGUUAUAAGAAUAGAAAAGAUUACUGUGCUGAAGUCGUAACAAGGUAACUGUAGAGGAAUCUGUAGUUGGAAAAUUAUCUUU